rnacentral:rRNA from 1 species
GUAGGUGGCAAGCGUUGUCCGGAAUUAUUGGGCGUAAAGCGCGCGCAGGCGGUUCUUUAAGUCUGAUGUGAAAGCCCACGGGCUCAACCGUGGAGGGUCAUUGGAAACUGGAGAACUUGAGUACAGAAGAGGAAAGCGGAAUUCCACGUGUAGCGGUGAAAUGCGUAGAGAUGUGGAGGAACACCAGUGGCGAAGGCGGCUUUCUGGUCUGUAACUGACGCUGAGGCGCGAAAGCGUGGGGAGCAAACAGGAUUAGAUACCCUGGUAGUCCACGCCGUAAACGAUGAGUGCUAAGUGUUAGGGGGUUUCCGCCCCUUAGUGCUGCAGCUAACGCAUUAAGCACUCCGCCUGGGGAGUACGGCCGCGAGGCUG